rnacentral:rRNA from 1 species
GAUGAACGCUGGCGGCGUGCCUAAUACAUGCAAGUCGAGCGAACAGAUGAGGAGCUUGCUCCUCUGACGUUAGCGGCGGACGGGUGAGUAACACGUGGAUAACCUACCUAUAAGACUGGGAUAACUUCGGGAAACCGGAGCUAAUACCGGAUAAUAUAUUGAACCGCAUGGUUCAAUAGUGAAAGACGGUUUUGCUGUCACUUAUAGAUGGAUCCGCGCCGCAUUAGCUAGUUGGUAAGGUAACGGCUUACCAAGGCAACGAUGCGUAGCCGACCUGAGAGGGUGAUCGGCCACACUGGAACUGAGACACGGUCCAGACUCCUACGGGAGGCAGCAGUAGGGAAUCUUCCGCAAUGGGCGAAAGCUUGACGGAGCAACGCCGCGUGAGUGAUGAAGGUCUUCGGAUCGUAAAACUCUGUUAUUAGGGAAGAACAAAUGUGUAAGUAACUAUGCACGUCUUGACGGUACCUAAUCAGAAAGCCACGGCUAACUACGU